GUGGGGAAUAUUGGGCAAUGGGCGCAAGCCUGACCCAGCAACGCCGCGUGAAGGAAGAAGGCUUUCGGGUUGUAAACUUCUUUUAUCAGGGACGAAGCAAGUGACGGUACCUGAUGAAUAAGCCACGGCUAACUACGUGCCAGCAGCCGCGGUAAUACGUAGGUGGCGAGCGUUAUCCGGAUUUACUGGGUGUAAAGGGCGUGUAGGCGGGCUUGCAAGUCAGAUGUGAAAUUCCAGGGCUCAACCCUGGAACUGCAUUUGAAACUGUAGGUCUUGAGUGCUGGAGAGGCAAUCGGAAUUCCGUGUGUAGCGGUGAAAUGCGUAGAUAUACGGAGGAACACCAGUGGCGAAGGCGGAUUGCUGGACAGUAACUGACGCUGAGGCGCGAAAGCGUGGGGAGCAAACAGG
rnacentral:rRNA from 1 species